UACGGAGGGUGCGAGCGUUGUCCGGAAUCACUGGGCGUAAAGGGUGCGCAGGCGGCCGUGUGUGUGAGGCGUGAAAGCCUGGGGCUUAACCCCAGAAUUGCACCUCAAACUACAUGGCUAGAGCAUUGGAGAGGGUAGCAGAAUUCAUGGUGUAGCAGUGAAAUGCGUAGAUAUCAUGAGGAAUACCAGAGGCGAAGGCGGCUACCUGGACAAUUGCUGACGCUCAGGCACGAAAGCGUGGGGAGCAAAAGGG
rnacentral:rRNA from 1 species